rnacentral:lncRNA from 1 species
GAUAAUUGGUGAACGUUUUCGCGAGGCACUAAACGCCAUUGUCUAUGUACACGCCUGUUUGAAAUUGCUAUCAUUACGCACUGUUUCUUGCUAUUGUCGUUAUGUAUGUAUUUUUUUCCGAAUCCCCAGUGUAAUGCGUUUGGCCUAUAGGCUAAAUAAAUAGGAAAAAAAGUGUAUUGCGAUAACCGCGUGGCUAGCUAUGUUUCCUGAGCGCUAUUAAAUUUGAAAUUCUGUUCUUUUUUUUACACUCAACAUAUCAGCUAGUUUAUGAAAUCGCGACCCUCUGUAGUAUAUCGCAAUGCUGGCCAUUCUCGUUGCUACAACAUUAUAUAAAGCAGACGAGAGUAGAUUAGAACGCCUUAUGAAUUUUAGAACUAAAGUAAACGCUAGGACUUCGAUAACGACUGGCUACCGGUGUCUUUAGUAGUUCCCGGUGCUCCAAGGUAGUACAAUUUUCCUGUAUCUCUCUAUGUGUAGUUGGGAACGAAUAUGAAAGGAAAGGAUGAUUCACUAACCUGGUCCUCUUUUUGGAGCGAGUUGUAGUGACAAUUUCUUCGACCAAACUACUUAUACUACAAUGAGUCACUUUCAUUCUGUUUCUUUUUGUUCUUGGCGGGCUGGCCUUAGAGUUUGCUGAAUGCGUAAAGCAAAGUGCUUGUAUGAUCGGAACGAGAAAUGCACUUCUGGAAGCGUCUAUUUUUUUGUGUAACAUGGUUACCUUGCGUCUACAGCGAAGCAUGCACAGGGUCCUGUCUUGUGGAAUGGUGUCCAAGUACUGAAGAUAUGCUUUCUAAUUAUUCGUUAUCAUCAGAAGCAAUUGACCCGGAAGCUGACCAAAAUUCCUGCCCAAUUUCGUGGUGCCCAUCAGUUAAGCGCUCGGGCAAAAAUGAAUGGAUAUGUCGCGGAGGCAUAGAUCCUGAGCUACUGCCAGAAGAUCCUAAAACUAUAGAAGUUACUGCAACACUAACGGAAGAGUUACCGAAUCAACCACCGCCUCAACCACCGAAUGCCGAUGAGCUUUCCGACUGUCGACUGCAAAAAACCAGAGCGAGAAGGAGGCCCGUGUUUG